CCAAAAUUCUGAUAUGUCCAUUAUUUCCCUAAGAUUAUGAUCAUUAGAAAAUCUUAGCAUUUUCCACUCCAUGACCAAAUCUUCUGGAUCACCCUGAACCAAGUAAGAAAAACUGUUCAUUAAAGGUAAUAGUGGCACAUCAGAAUCCGACAAAACACUUCUCGGAGUUAUUAUAGACAAGUUUUUUAAAUCAUUAUUACUCAGAUCAAAUCUUAGUAGCAAUUGUUUUAAAAGUUCUAAAUAAAAAUUCAAAGCGUUUGUUUUUAUCUCAUUCCUAUCAAAAUUUGAGAGGUUUGAUUUUUUGAUAUAAUCCUCGGCUUUGCUUCCCAGAAAAACAUCUGUAAUAGAUUUUCCCAUUGAAUUCGCUAAAUCGUAUGAUUUUAUUCCGCUAAUUUCCAAAUAGCACGAAAGAAAAUAUAAUUGAAGUGCGUCCCACUGUUCCACCGCUCGAUUUAUAACGUUUUCUAAGGAGAGCCAUCUUGUCAACGAAAUACCUAAUAUUUUGUGCGGUGGUACUGCACAAUAGUCUUGAAAUUCUUUAAAGUUAUUGAUACGAUUAGCACUGCAUAGGCAGAGCAUAGAUGCAACGAAUGACAAGUGCAUUUUAGAAAAAACAUAUUGGAGUUGCUCUUAAGCUUGGCUUGCAGACCAUUCACCUCACCGGCCAUAACACUUGCACCGUCAGUUGACAGUCCAAUUAAAUUUUCAAAUGGAAUAUCAUUUUCAGAAAAAAAUGUCUUAAUGCUGUUGUAAAUGGUUUCAGCGUCACAUUUUAUAAGUUCAAUCAAACCCAAAAAUCUAUCUUUAAUAAUUUUGGAAUUCUUAUCGACAUACCUUACAACUAAAACUAAAGACUUUCUGGUUGAAAUAUCAGUCGUCUCGUCUGUUAUUAAGGAAAAUUUAGUAGUUUGCAGCUCUGAAACUAUUUUCUGCUUCGCUUUUGUUCCUAGCGUCUCUGCAAGUUGAGUUGCUUUCGUUCGUCCGCACUUGAUUGAGUUUGCAAUUUCCGAAUCGGGACAGCAUUCUUUUAGCAGAUUUGGUA